UACGUAGGUGGCAAGCGUUGUCCGGAAUUAUUGGGCGUAAAGCGCGCGCAGGCGGUCCUUUAAGUCUGAUGUGAAAGCCCACGGCUCAACCGUGGAGGGUCAUUGGAAACUGGGGGACUUGAGUGCAGGAGAGAAGAGUGGAAUUCCCGGUGUAGUGGUGGAAUGCGUAGAUAUCGGGAGGAACACCAGUGGCGAAGGCGGUUGCCUGGGGCUUUGCUGACGCUGAGGCGCGAAAGCGUGGGGAGCGAUCCGG
rnacentral:rRNA from 1 species